GCGACCCCAGGAUGGGCGGGAUG
rnacentral:rRNA from 17 species